rnacentral:rRNA from 1 species
AGAGAGUUAAAGAGGACGUGAAACCGAUGAGGUGGAAACGGACAGAGCUGGCGUAUCUGGUCUGCAUUCACCCGUCUGUUGUUGGACGUUGGGCUUCCUGCCUCCAGACUGGGGUCGGUUGUCUUUCUGUUCAGCGGCUGAUGGGGCAUUUGCAGGCGGAGUGCGCUGAGAUGCUCGGGGUAGCUGCGUGAACUCGGCUUUGAGGCCAGCCCUUCGGGGUCUGGUACCCGGGUCGGGGGAAUGCUGUUUACUCUGGGUGAGAGUGUGCAAUGGUUUCGGGUCCGUGUUGGUUCGAGCUGAGUGUCGGUGGCGGUCGCAUGCGACACGUACCAGCAAUCAGUUCGGUCCAGCUCGGGCUCUCAUUUGUGCGUUCUCGGUGUAAAAGCCGGUUAUCUGUCCGACCCGUCUUGAAACACGGACCAAGGAGUUUAGCGUAUGCGCGAGUCAUUGGGUGUUGAAAACCCAAAGGCGUAAUGAAAGUGAAGGCAUCCUUGCGGAGCUGAUGUGUGAUCCCUGGCACUGCGGUGUUGGGGCGCAACAUAGUCCCGUCUCGAUCGCAUGCGAUGGGGCGGAGACAGAGCGUAUGCGCUGAGACCCGAAAGAUGGUGAACUAUUCCUGAGCAGGAUGAAGCCAGAGGAAACUCUGGUGGAAGUCCGAAGCGAUUCUGACGUGCAAAUCGAUCGUCUGA